rnacentral:rRNA from 1 species
GACGAACGCUGGCGGCGUGCUUAACACAUGCAAGUCGAACGAAGUGGCGAACGGGUGAGUAACGCGUAAUCAACCUGCCCUUCAGAGGGGGACAACAGUUGGAAACGACUGCUAAUACCGCAUACUGAAGGAGGGGAUUGCGUCUGAUUAGCUAGUUGGAGGGGUAACGGCCGACCAAGGCGGUGACGGGUAGCAGGCGUGACGGGCGGACCGGCCACAUGAGGAGGGCGCGACGGCCCAGACGGCUACGGGUGGGAGCAGUGGGGGAUAUUGCGCAAUGCUGGAAGGGCUGAUGCAGCGAAGCCGUGUGGGGGAUGGAGGCGUUAGGGUUGGUAAACUCUGUCGCGGUACCUGAAGAAGAAGCGCCGGCUAACUACGUGCCAGCAGCCGCGGUAAUAC